UACAGAGGUCUCAAGCGUUGUUCGGAUUCAUUGGGCGUAAAGGGUGCGUAGGCGGCGCGGUAAGUCGGAUGUGAAAUCUCGGAGCUUAACUUCGAAACUGCAUUCGAUACUGCCGUGCUUGAGGACUGGAGAGGAGACUGGAAUUUACGGUGUAGCGGUGAAAUUCGUAGAUAUUCGGAAGAACACCAGUGGCGAAGGCGACUCGCUGGACAGACAUUGACGCUGAGGUGCGAAAGCGUGGGGAGCAAACAGG
rnacentral:rRNA from 1 species